CCCGCUGAAUUUAAGCAUAUUAGUCAGUGGAGGAGAAGAAACUAACCAGGAUUCCCUCAGUAAAGGCCAGUGAACAGGGAAGAGCCCAGCGCCGAAUCCCCGCCAGGUGCUGUGGCGCGGGAAAUGUGGCGUACAGAAGACCCACUCCCUGGCGCCGCUCGUGGGGGGCACAAGUCCUUCUGAUCGAGGCCCAGCCCUUGGACGGUGUGAGGCCAGUAGCGGGCCCAGUGCCGCCAGGCCCAGAUCUUCCUGGAGUCGGGUUGCUUGGGAAUGCAGCCCAAAGCAGAUGGUAAACUCCAUUUAAGGCUAAAUACCGGCACGAUAGCCAACAAGUACAGUAAGGAAAAGUUGAAAAGAACUUUGAAGAGAGUUCAAGAGGGUGUGAAACCGUUAAGAGGUAAACGGGUGUGGUCAGCACAGUCGGCCCAGAGGAUUCAACCCAGAGGCGCGCGUUCCGCUGUGCGG
rnacentral:ncRNA from 1 species